UAGGGAAUCUUACGCAAUGGACGCAAGUCUGACGGAGCAACGCCGCGUGAGUGAAGAAGGUUUUCGGAUCGUAAAACUCUGUUGUAAGAGAAGAACAAAUUGUAGAGUAACUGCUACAGUCUUGACGGUAUCUUACCAGAAAGCCACGGCUAACUACGUGCCAGCAGCCGCGGUAAUACGUAGGUGGCAAGCGUUGUCCGGAUUUAUUGGGCGUAAAGGGGGCGCAGGCUGCUUCUUAAGUCUGAUGUGAAAGCCCACGGCUUAACCGUGGAAGUGCAUUGGAAACUGGGAAGCUUGAGUACAGAAGAGGAAAGUGGAACUCCAUGUGUAGCGGUGGAAUGCGUAGAUAUAUGGAAGAACACCAGUGGCGAAAGCGACUUUCUGGUCUGUCACUGACGCUGAGGCCCGAAAGCGUGGGUAGCAAACAGG
rnacentral:rRNA from 1 species